GCAGGAUGGUAUUUAUCAUUACAUUUGCAACGAUCGAGAGAAAGGAAAUACAUAUCCCGGAAAAUGGAACUCAGUAUUGUUUCCUUUUGAAACUUGGGGGCGGGUCACAUCCGAACUUUAAUGGACAACCAGGAAUUUACCAACCUCCAAGUCCCCGAGCCCCACCUCUCCUGGGUUUCAGAAUUCCUAGCAUAGAACACCUUCUUGCAAGUAUAUGUUGCCUGACAAAGAAUUCUAAUUGAAUUAUGGAAAAAAAUUAUCAUGAAACUUGUGGAGGCUAUAAUGGCUUUAAAAAGUCAUUUUAUGAACUGAGGUCCAAAGAAUGAAGACAUUCUAUUCCAAUGGAUAGACUCAAGGACAAGAGCCAAUGAGCAUGUAUGGUCCUUGGCCUUGCAGCGUGAGUGUCAUGUGGAAACCCUGAUGAAGCUAUGUCUUAGGCUCUACUGCAGAACUACUCGCUGGACCCUGAACUUCAUCAUGCUCCCAAAGACCCUUUCUAAAGUUUGAGGGGUGCUGUCCUUGAGCAUGAGGGGUGCUGUCCAUUCGAGCCUGGAGUCAGCUGUGUGAACUUGGACAUACUAUUUGACUUACCUGACUUCAGUUUCCUCUCCUGUCCAUAGGGGAUGGAUGAGGGGAAGAGAGCCUGGGGCUUGGUACGGAUCAGGGGCCUUGGAGGUCUUUCUCCCACAGGGUGGGUGCAGAGCCUAAAGGGAAGUAGACAGGACAAUAGUCAGUCCAGAUCAUAUGGGAACAUGCGGCUGCAGUCAUGGACAGGCAGCCGGGGAAAUACAGCCAUCACUGACUAAGAGGGAGCUGUGGGCUCUCUGUGAUGCCAGCCACCUGCCAAGCUAAGCCCAGCCCCCGUCACAGAGCACACUGCAUCCAAGUGCCAAUCAGCUGUAGCAAACCCCAGCGGGGCCCCAACAACAGGUGUCUCAUUAAACAUCUCUCACCCUCCCAGGCUUACCCACUGACAGGCACCAAACUCACACUCAAUCACUGCUUAAUCACAGCCAAACUCCAUUAACAAGUCAUACUAAUUACCAACUUCUAUCAGUGUCUCUAGUUUGGAGGCAAAAUAGCUUAUUCUUUUUAGAUAAAAACUGGCUUGUGAUCCUUCAGCAAGACCCAUAAUUAAGCUCUUUACAAAUGAAGGUCAAGGGAGGAGGCAGGGGAAAAGCUGAUAGACCCGGUGUGGCUGUGGUCCUGAAAGUGCAGGAUGGGAAGCUCUGUUUGUUUUAAUUUUGUGCUUGCUGGGUGGCCCACAAGGGUCCAAUUAGCUUGUUACAGAUGCUUGUACAGGUUCCAUCCUCUUGUCUUCUCCUUCUUUCCUCGCCCCCUCCCCUUUUUCUAUUAUUAUUAUUAUUUUUCCCUAGGAGGGAUAAACUUGUAGCACAGAUUGCAGGCCUGCAGGCAUCCAAAGAUCAACAACUAGUUUUCUGUGAUCCAACCCCCUGUGAACCAUGAACAAUCAUUUGCAGAAUUCCUAAUGCAUAGAAUGAGGCAAGGAGGAGCUUGGGUGGCUAGAAAAGUGUCCAGUUCACUUUCAGAAUGGCCAGAGGGUAGACAUUAUUCCCUAAAUACGAGUGACUUGGUAGACUGGAUUUUAAUUUUUUUCCCUUUUAA